rnacentral:rRNA from 1 species
AAACUAACAAGGAUUCCCCUAGUAACGGCGAGUGAAGAGGGAAGAGCCCAAGAUUGAAAGCUGGCGUCUUCGGCGUCCGCAUUGUAAUCUCAAGAAGUGUUUUCCGCUUCGGACCAUGCCUAAGUCCCUUGGAAAAGGGCAUCAUAGAGGGUGAUAAUCCCGUACAUGGCAUGGAGCGCCCGUAGCUUUGUGAUACACUUUCUAAGAGUCGAGUUGUUUGGGAAUGCAGCUCAAAAUGGGUGGUAAAUGCCAUCUAAGGCUAAAUAUUGGGGAGAGACCGAUAGCGAACAAGUACAGUGAUGGAAAGAUGAAAAGAACUUUGAAAAGAGAGUUAAACAGUACGUGAAAUUGCCAAAAGGGAAGGGUAGGAGGUCAGAGAUGCGGCUUGGGAUUCAGCCUUGCUUUUGCAUGGUGUUUUUCCCCUGUUGCAGGCCAACGUCGGUUUUGGGCACUGGAGAAGGGUGAGAGGAACGUGGCAUCCCUCGGGAUGUGUUAUAGCCUCUUACUGGAUACAGCGACCGAGACCGAGGACAGCAGCGUACUCGCAAGAGCGGGCCUUCGGGCACCUUUACGCUUAGGGCGUUGGCAUAAUGGCCCUCUACCAC